UACGGAAGGGGCAAGCGUUGUUCGGAAUCAUUGGGCGUAAAGGGCGCGUAGGUGGUUCUGUAUGUCUACCGUGAAAGCAUACAGCUCAACUGUAUUUUGUCGGUAGAAACUGCAGGACUUGAGGCUGGGAGGGGCUGGUGGAAUUCCCUGUGUAGCGGUGAAAUGCGUAGAUAUUGGGAGGAACACCAGUGGCGAAGGCGGCUCACUGGACCGGUACUGACGCUGAGGCGCG
rnacentral:rRNA from 1 species